CCUACGGGUGGCAGCAGUGAGGAAUAUUGGUCAAUGGACGGAAGUCUGAACCAGCCAUGCCGCGUGCAGGAAGAAGGCUCUAUGUGUUGUAAACUGCUUUUGUACAAGGGUAAACCUGGAUACGUGUAUUCGGAUGAAAGUACUGUACGAAUAAGGAUCGGCUAACUCCGUGCCAGCAGCCGCGGUAAUACGGAGGAACCAAGCGUUAUCCGGGUUUAUUGGGUUUAAAGGGUGCGUAGGCGGAUUGAUAAGUUAGAGGUGAAAUGUCCGGGCUUAACUCCGGAACUGCCUCUAAUACUGUUGAUCUAGAGAGUAGGAGCGGUAGGCGGAAUGUAUGGUGUAGCGGUGAAAUGCUUAGAGAUCAUACAGAACACCGAUGGCGAAGGCAGCUUACCAGUCUAUAUCUGACGUUGAGGCACGAAAGCGUGGGGAGCAAACAGGAUUAGAUACCCCAGUAGUC
rnacentral:rRNA from 1 species